rnacentral:rRNA from 1 species
CCUACGGGAGGCAGCAGUGGGGAAUUUUGGACAAUGGGCGAAAGCCUGAUCCAGCAAUGCCGCGUGAGUGAAGAAGGCCUUCGGGUUGUAAAGCUCUUUUGUCAGGGAAGAAACGGUGAGAGCUAAUAUCUUUUGCUAAUGACGGUACCUGAAGAAUAAGCACCGGCUAACUACGUGCCAGCAGCCGCGGUAAUACGUAGGGUGCAAGCGUUAAUCGGAAUUACUGGGCGUAAAGCGUGCGCAGGCGGUUUUGUAAGUCUGAUGUGAAAUCCCCGGGCUCAACCUGGGAAUUGCAUUGGAGACUGCAAGGCUAGAAUCUGGCAGAGGGGGGGUUAGAAUUCCACGUGUAGCAGUGAAAUGCGUAGAUAUGUGGAGGAACACCGAUGGCGAAGGCAGCCCCCGUGGGUCAAGAUUGACGCUCAUGCACGAAAGCGUGGGGAGCAAACAGGAUUAGAUACCCUGGUAGUCCACGCCCUAAACGAUGUCUACUAGUUGUCGGGUUCUUAAUUGACUUGGUAACGCAGCUAACGCGUGAAGUAGACCGCCUGGGGAGUACGGUCGCGAAGNUUAAAACCGUCAAAGGAAUUGACGGCUGGAGACGNGCGACGGACGACGACGAGGGAGGAGG